GAUGAAGAACGUAGCGAAAUGCGAUAAGUAAUGUGAAUUGCAGAAUUCAGUGAAUCAUCGAAUCUUUGAACGCACCUUGCGCCCCUUGGUUAUUCCAAAGGGCAUGCCUGUUUGAGUAUCAUGAACACCUCAACUCUUGUGGUUUCCCACAAUGAGCUUGGACUGUGGAGGUUUUGUUGGCCCUGUGGUCAGCUCCUCUCAAAUGGAUCAGCUUACCGGUGUUUGGUGGCAUUACGGGUGUGAUAACUAUCUACGCUCGUGGUCGUCUCCAAAUAACCUCCAGUGAUGGAGGUUCGCUGGAGCUUAUAAAUGUCUCACCCCAGUGAAGACAGCCUUUGAACGUUCGAUCUCAAAUCAGGUAGGACUACCCGCUGAACUUAAGCAUAUCAAUAAGCGGAGGA
rnacentral:misc_RNA from 1 species